GAGGGUAUAGCUCAAUUGGUAGAGCACAUGCUUAGCAUGCACGAGGUCCUGGGUUCAAUUCCCACUACCUCCA
rfam:Camelus ferus unplaced genomic scaffold scaffold515, whole genome shotgun sequence.